AGUACGUGAAACUGCUUAGAGGUUAAGCCCGAUGAACCUGAAUAUCCAUUAUGGAAAAUUCAAUAUUAAGAAUAUAAUAUAAAUAAUAUUAUAAAAAUAGUAUGCAAUUUUUCCAUAUAAGGACAUUGUAAUCUGUUAAUGUUAUAAAUAUUUAUCAAAAGAUCUAAUACUUAAGUUUAUUUAAAUUGUUUAUUUUCGGAUAUUCAACAUAAAAUAAAUGUGUUAGAUUGGAUAAAUCAUUGACAGAUCGAAUUAUAUAUUGUGCAUAAAUUCUUCGGAAUUUUUCAGUAGUAGAUAGAUCUAUUGAUUUAUUUAUUGAUUGCCUGCAUAAUUAUGAUUGACAAUGCGAUAGAUUCAGGAUACCUUCGGGACCCGUCUUGAAACACGGACCAAGGAGUCUAACAUAUGUGCAAGUCAUUGGGUAUUUUUAAUAAAACCCAAUGGCAUAAUUAACUUAACUGUUAUUUAUAAUGAGAUUAAUUUAUAUUUUGUUAUGAUUUAUUUAUUCAAUCUCGGGGCGUUCUAUACAGUUAUGCAUAAUAAUAUUUAUAUUAUUUAUGCCUCUAACUAGAGCGUACCUUGAGC
rnacentral:rRNA from 1 species